AUAAAAGGAGGAGGUUGUGCACAGGGAGCUGAAAAGCAGAGGCCACCCCACCGUGGGCUCCCUAAUGCUGCAGAUUUACCGAGGUAAUGACCAGGCAUAAACUGAUAAACUUGUAUUUUUUCUCCCAACAGGCACUGGGUAACCUCUGGGGAAUUCGAUAGGCCUGUUGCGGCAAUGCCAGGAGGAGUUAAUGACACAGGUGACCCACGCCUGUGUCCUGACCAGGGGAGGAACUGAGCAGCUGACCCGGGAAGGAGCAGGAGAGGAUGCACAGGAGCUGCUGCUCCUGGAGCUACUGCUGAAACCCCCCGGAGGGGACAACCUGGAAGAGGAAAGACCUUUGCUGUCACCAUGCUCAGCUGCUCUUGAUGGGCAAGAAGAGGUUUCUGGAGGGCAGAUCGGGCAGCGUGGGACAGCAGAAAGCUGGGAGCCAGCAGCUGCAUCGCUGAGUCUCCACUAUGAGCAGCAGCCGCCGCUUCCCACUGCCUGCCCUGCACACCUCUACGACAGCUGGGAGAGACAAGGCUAAAGGACUGCCAGCAGCGCAGCCUUUGUCGCCCACCCCUGUCAUGGGGCACCAAGGGGAGGCGGCACCGAGGGGACCAGGAUGAAGAUGCUCCUGGAAGGGGCAGCAGAUGGGACACAGCACAUCCCAGACAGGCACAACAUCAUGGUGGCUGUAAAUCACAUCUUGGAGUGGGAGAAGGAAGGGAGAUUGAGAUGGGAAAAGACUGCGGGGAGGCCUGCCUCACCUGGGAAGGAAGCAGAGGCAAUGAAGCCCCCGUUCUCCAGGGAUUUUUGUUCUAACAGUAAAGAAGAACUGUGACAAUUGCUCUGGAAGAAGCUUCACACGGACAUCCCAUGUCCUGGGGAAACAUGGCCAGUAAUUCAGGUUGCAGACAAGGCCCCAUUGACUCUGACGAAGACGAAGAGGUUCAGUUAACCCUGCGUGCUGUGGGGCUGCAAGAGCUGGACUGGCCAGGGCAGCACGGCCACAACCUCACCUCGAGCUGCCCGAGGGGCUGGGGGGGUUUUGGGGAGUGUCAAGACUGCAGGGGUGCGCCCCAGAUGUCAGUCAGGGAGGCUGGGAGCUCUGCACCCUCGCCGUCCCUUGAUCUUAGCAACAGCACUCAUGAGAUAUGCAAGCUGGCAAGCACGCAGGGGCAGAAAUCCAGCCCUGCCAGGUCCACAGCAGCAGCUGGUGAGGAUGAGGAGCUCCCUGUGAGGAGGAGGAGCACCCUGUGUGCCCUGACCUGAGCAGCCCGCACACCCGCCCAUGCACGCUCUGCUGCAGACAAGGGGAUUGCAAUGGCCAAAAUCCCAAAUGGGUCUCGGCACGACCCCGUGGGGCACGUUCCUCUCGUGUUGCCCUUGACCUUUUUUCUCUGGAGGCUCCAAGAAGGAGGAAAUGUUUGUCUGCAAGAAGCAGGUCUCUGGCUGAAUUCCCCUCCUGCGGGGAAACCUCUGUCAGUCAGCGGUUUCAUUUUACGUGGCUGUGCUUUGCCCAAAAAAAAAUUAGCUUAACAUUAUCACAGUGUAAGUCAACAAAUAUGGAAAAAUCCACCAAGGUUACGUUUUAUCCACUUUUCUUGCACCUUUGGAGAUGAAACUCAAGCUACUCUGCUAAGUCACAGUGAUUUAUUGGUGGGCUGAGAAGCUGGGUUUACAUACUGCAUCUUUGGGAUGCUGGCAACCUCGCUUCUUAUAAAUCUGAACUAGUAUUUCUAAGCCCUUUUAUGCCAGCUGCUUUCAUGUAUUCAGAACCUUUUCCGUGCAGUAGCCUAUGAAAAUAUUGAAACGAUGCCCAGAGCAACACCAGGAUAUGAAGGGGAAAACUUUAAGAUGUUUUGUAACUAUUUUUUAACAGAACCUGCCAAAUCUUAAUUUUUCCAGUUUACAAGUAAGAGCCUCUAACCAUCUGUUUGCUGUCAACUGAUGUUUGUUUGGAAAGGAAUUUUAUUAUUUUUUUCCAUCUUGCACUCCUGUUCUUACAACUAGUUUACUGAACUUCAUAAAUGUCAGCUUUCACAGUUGUUUUGUAAGCCAGUUAUGAUUUAGGAUUUAAUCAAAAUUGAGCAGUCAGUGUCUUUAAUCAAUCUGAAUGGAGAUCAAAACCAAAGAAACAGAGACUGAAAAAUGAAACAUUUAAUGUACCCCAACAGUCUUUGAAAGAGCCUUAUUUCCAACAUAAUAGCUACCAGGAAUCAUUAUAACAAACUUUAAAAAAAAGAAAUACCUUCCAAAA